UACGUUCCCGUCUUCUUUCCCUCCCACCAAUAAGGCCGCAUCUACUUUCCCUCCACAAAUAACACCCAUAAAGAAUUUCACCCAAUUCCAAUCCUAAAGAGUUUCUGUACUUCCAUUAAAUAGUUGGCAAACGAUUCGAAAUCCCAAGGAAUGUGGAUUUUGAUAAAACUGAGUAGGAAAUUUUUGAACUCCACGAUGACGGGCUAGGAUUUUCUGGUGCUGGAGGGGACAAAAAGCACUUGGAUGCUCCAGCACUAGAGGUGAAGGAGCUAGCGGAGUUGCCAGAGCAGUGGAGGGAGCUAAGUUGGCGUGGUUAUGUAAGGAGUUGCCAACGCAUAAGCCAGCUACUAUUGUGAGGAUACUAAAAGGGCAGAGAAAAUGGAUGAGCUAUCAAGAUACAAUAGAUAAAGAAAGACUUGCAUCGUUAAGGCAAGAGAUGAAGCAAGCAGGAGUAGAGAAGAGAUAAGAAGUGCUUAUUUCCAUGUUGAGAGUUUAUGCAAAGGAUGUAAAUCUAGAGGAAGCAGAAAGGACUUGGCUCAAACUCAUCCGUCUUGAUGAAGAUCACCCAUCACAAGUUUUCGUAUGUAGAAUGAAAGUCUUUUCAAAGGCAGGAGAAUCUAUAAAAUCAUUGGAGACAUUCAGGAAGAUGCAAGAGGUUUUAAAUUCAUACAAUGUUGCACUAUAUCAUAAAAUUAUAGAAGUCUUGUAUGAGGCUGAAAAAGUGGAGCUUACAGAGUUGCUUUUACAAGAGUUAGUUCAGGGUGGUAUGAAGUCGCUUACUCCAUCGUUUAUUGCUGUAGUGUAUAUGUACCUUAAUUUAAAUUGACAUGAUAAAUUAGGGUUGGCCCUCUCUUCGAGCC